AGUGGCCAUCCCUGAUUCUUUGCCUGCAGAGGUUGCAGUUUCCAAUGGUUGUGAUGAUUCAUAUUCUAGAGUAGGAAGAUCAGUUGGGGAGAAUGCAGACAUAUUUUUUGGGUUGGAAUGUCUUGAUCAAUUUAUUACUCAAUCUUCUAAUAACAAUGGAGGCAUUCAAAUUGAUGAUGAAAGAACAGGGAAACAGGAAGGAGGAGCCUUUCCUGAUAUUACGUCUGCUGGGAUCAUUGCUUCUGGACGGCGUGCUGGGAAAUUCAAACCCAAGCCCAUGUUACAAAUUAGUGUAGUCACCUUGCAACCUGCUGUGUGGAUUCUGUUGUGCAUCCUCCAAAUUCUCAGUUUGAUCCUUCAGAAACUAUGAUUGGAGAGAGCUCAAUUUCUGACUUUCCACCUGAUGAUGUUCCUGAUUGCUCACCCAUGGAUUUACGUGCUUUUAUUCCUAAAGAUCCUUCUACCUCUGAAGUUCCAGCGAAUGAGGAACUGGUAAACCUCACAGAAGCUUCUAACUCAGGUGUUGCCCUUUCUGGAGAUGUUCCUGGCAUGCCUUAAAAAAGUGAGUUCUAACAUCAGGCAAAGGAAGGCCUCUCUAGUAUCAAAUCUUUCUCAAAAGCCCAAACAAUCUUCCAUUGGAGAGGAGGAGAAUGAAAAUGACAAAGCAACAAAGCAGUUGAGAAAGCAGGUGACUAGUCCUCAGAUUGUUGUUGAUCAUGAGGAUGGGACUUGCAAUGAUGAUGGCCCAGCCGCUGGACUUCCCGGUAGCUCUGCUAUAGAUGAGGAUAAAGAUGAUGAUGGCAAUUAUGAUGACGAAUAUAAUGUGGAGAGUUCAUUUCCCACGAGGAGAACUUCUAGGAGGUCAAAGAAACCUGUGGCUGAAAAUGAAAAACCUCUUCGAAAGCUUAAGAUAGCUGAUGAAAAACAAGCUCAAAAGCAUGAGAAAACCAAUGAAGCAUCAGUUCAGCCAGCAAAAGAAAGACCUAAGAAAUUUUCUCAUUCAACUCGCAAAAAGAGAAGAUUUGGUUAUUACAACUUGUAGACAUUAAAGUUGUGAGGAUUAUUCUUUAUCUAUUUAUUAAUAACAUCCCUUUUCUUUUCUAGUGGAUAAGUCUUUACUGCACAUUACAGAGGAUGAAAUUGACUUUGCAAAGGUGGCUUUGAAGUAUAUCAUUUUGUUUGCAGAUUACAAGGAGCAGUUAGCGAAGAAAGAUGCCAAAACAUAAAAAAUACCAUUGAUGAAUUGAAGUGCUCAAAAACUUUUCAUGCGGAAAAUGCUAAUAAUGAAGAAAACUCCCUUGCUUCAGAACAAGACCAAGGUUUUACAGACGAUCAAGUGAAUAGUAGGGCUCAGUCAAGUUCUUUCUGCUUAAAUUACCAGUCUUACAUGGACAAAGAACCCACAGCAAGAUGGUCAAAACAAGACAGAAUUAUUUUAUAGGGCCAUUCAGCAGUUUGGGCCUGAUUUUUUAGUGAUAAAACAACUUUUUACUGGAAGAAGUCGUCAUCAGAUCAAGUUAAAAUUCAAGAAUGAAGAGCGUCAAUAUCCAUUGAGACUUUCUGAGGCUUUAGCAAGUUGUGCUGAUGGUGGAGUUCCUUUUUUGUUGUGUUUUCAGUCAAAUCAUGCCUAUUUUGAAAUGGUGAUCGAGCAGUUGCAGCAAGUUUCUUAGGCAGAGGAGGAGUCUAAUGGAGAUGUUUCCAUUGAUUUUACACGUGAAGAGGAUGAAGCAGCAAAAGCUGAGCAGGAUGAGGAUGUAGCAUUCAAAGAUCAAGGAGCAGAUGUUACUGAAGACCAUAGUGCUUUAAAGUCCAAUGAAACUGAUGAUAAUGAUGAAAUAUUGAGUUCAUAUAGAAGUGCAUUUUAGUAAUCAAGACCAGAACACAAGUGGUGUAGAUUUUUUAAAAAAAUAUGAAGGAAAAAAAAACCUGAAAAAUGAGAAUAUCAAUUAUUUUUAUGUAUUUUCCAACUGAUUUUUAGGCAAUGUUUGAAUCUGGCUUUUGCAAAGGGCAAUUCUUGCAAAGGGGAUUGAAGAUAGGAUCUUGUUUUCUAUAAGAAGAGAGAUGUAAUUAUCAAUUAGGUUAUGUCAUAGUCAUGGGAUGUACAUGUUGUCUAUAGAAAAGCAUUUUAAACUAUUUGUAUGGUACCUUGUUCUUAUGAUAAGUCUUGCUUAUUAUUUGACA